UCCUAGCGUUCAGAGAUUUUUCUUUCCACUUGCGCAGAAGUUUCUCAACAUCAUAGCUAUCCUUACACGCAAGAAAAUCCUCAGCUAUAUCUCCCUCCAUAACAUAGCGUGUAUCAGGCAUACCAGGCAAUUCAGGCAUAGUAGCAGGUUCUACUUCAAUAGUAUCAGCAGUUUCAGAAGUAUCAUCACAUCUAGCAACAACUCUAGCAAUAUGUGCAUCAAGGG
rnacentral:lncRNA from 1 species